ACUCGAACCAUUGUUACCUAACAAACUCAGCGUCACCACGCAGGUGAGUAGGAAUGUCACAUUGUCCGCAAUCAAUGAUUGCACUCACUAAUUCCAGACACAAUUUUAAAGUUUCCGAGGAAAAGCAUGCUUCAUGCAAAACUAAAAUUAGAGUGUGCAGUUUUUGUUGAUUUUCUGCUGAACAACGUCGUUUCUCCAUGAAAAUCCGACUCUUCUGAAAAGAGAAAAAAAUAAUGCUUUCCUCUCGUAAAAUGGCUUGCAAAACAAUGAAAACCCAUCUUUCUUUCUCUUAGCUCCAAGAUCGGAAAUCGGGCCUUCCACUCAAUUUUACCGUUGGUUCGUACAACUGAGUUUUGUAAACCAGGUUAAAAGGUCCCACAACGUUCUGCUAUGUUCCAUCAGGUUGCCAUGAGACAAAAGAAGUAAAUGGGAUAAAAUGACCUAAGUGGGGUAACUAGAUAAACAAAGAUGAACUAAGAUAUAGACAAGGAAGGAAUCAUAGAGUAUAGUAAGAUAAUGUGUUGUGCUAAAUAGAUGGAUGGGAUGAACGGUCAUUAGGAUGCAUAGUACAUGUAUACUAGUGAGAGGAUAGAAAAUCGUUUUGGGGUGUACAAUUUCAAUGGUAUAUCAACUCACUAGUAAUUUAAAAAAACUCUGCGUAUUUUCUACCUUUAGGGAAUGCUAAGUAUUAUGGAUUACAAACUACUGUAAAACGUUGAUUGAAAGCAUUUUAUAAGCAAAAAAUUUCAUACUGCCGUAUGAAGAAUAAAUCGUUGUUCAAACUUCAUGCGGGAUUGAUUGAUUGUUCAUGUUUGGCUAUGAAACUUGUAAUUAACAAGUCGCUGUAUUUAUAUGAUGAGCUUUUCCAAAAACGGAUACUGUGAUCCGAAAUAGAAUGGAAAGUUGAACUAGGAAUGUUUGGGAUCACGGAUGCUGGCUAUGAAACACUGUGUAUCAGAGAGUGUGUGUCUUAAGCUAAUACCAUUAUAACUACUAUUUACCUAGAUGUUAUUUCUAUCACCCUCACCUAGCUAUUGACAAAGUGGGAGCCGCGGUCCUGAGUGGGAUACCCAUCUACUUAUAAGUCAUAAGACUUAGUCCCCAGAUUUUCAAGUGGGAGAAUUCCUCCUAUGUGGGGGAGUAGUAAGAAAGUUUUAAACUUUCAAACUUAGACUGAGGUUGUAUCAUUCUAUGACAACAAUUCUAGCGGGGCUUUCUGUACCAUCGUGCAUGCCUGACCGUUAGGGUUUCAUAUGAGUUCAACAAUGUCAGUCUACGUGCAUGAAAAGACUUUUGCUGGUUUGAGCGAACAACCCUAUUCAGUGUAUUAAGGUUGCCCUCAAGCAGCAGUUUCCAAGUGCAACAAAGGAGGUUGAACCAAGAUAACUAGGUAUAGCAGACGAUGGUAUGCUGUGCUUUGAUGGUUUUGAAGCAUGUCCACAUAGAAUCACAUUAGUAGAAUUUAAUACUCCCGAUCAAUACAUUAAAACAAUUGUGUGUAUUUUAGUUGCGAUUAAUAAUGUUAAUUCUGUAAACCAUGUU